rnacentral:rRNA from 1 species
CCUACGGGAGGCAGCAGUGAGGAAUAUUGGUCAAUGGCCGGAAGGCUGAACCAGCCAAGCCGCGUGAAGGACGAAGGUGCCAAGCAUUGUAAACUUCUUUUGUCAAGGGACAAAAUCAGGCUCGAGAGCCUGACCGAGGGUACUUGAAGAAAAAGCAUCGGCUAACCCCGUGCCAGCAGCCGCGGUAAUACGGAGGAUGCGAGCGUUAUCCGGAUUUAUUGGGUUUAAAGGGUGCGUAGGCGGACUGUUAAGUCAGCGGUAAAAGCCCGGGGCUCAACCCCGGCGAGCCGUUGAAACUGGGGGUCUUGAGAUGUCGAGAGGUAUGCGGAAUGCGGAGUGUAGCGGUGAAAUGCUUAGAUAUUGCGCAGAACUCCGAUUGCGAAGGCAGCAUACCGGCGGCGAUCUGACGCUGAGGCACGAAAGCGUGGGUAUCGAACAGGAUUAGAUACCCCGGUAGUC